rnacentral:rRNA from 1 species
CCUACGGGAGGCAGCAGUGGGGAAUAUUGGGCAAUGGGCGAAAGCCUGACCCAGCAACGCCGCGUGAAGGAAGAAGGCUCUCGGGUUGUAAACUCUUUUUGACAGGGAAGAGCAGAAGACGUUACCUGCCGAAUAAGCCACGCCUAACUACGUGGCAACAGCUGCGGUAAUACGUAGGUGGACAGAGUUGUCCGGGUUUCCUGGGUGUAAAGGGUGUGUAGCCGGGAUGGCAAGUCAGGUGUGAAAUCCGGGGGCUCAACCCCCGAACUGCAUUUGAAACGGUUUGUCUUGAGUAUCGGAAGGGCAGGCGGAAUUCGUGGUGGAGCGGUGAAAUGCGUAGAUAUUAGGAGGAACACCGGUGGCGAAGGCGGCCUGCUGG